rnacentral:rRNA from 1 species
CUGUGCACUCUAGACAGACUGCCGUGGACAACGACGGAGGAAGGUGGGGAAUGACGUCAAAUCAUCAUGCCCCUUAUGAUCUGGGCUACACACGUGCUACAAUGGCCGGUACAACGGGCAGCGAAGGAGCGAUCCGGAGCGAAUCCUAAAAAGCCGGUCCCAGUUCGGAUUGCAGGCUGAAACUCGCCUACAUGAAGUUGGAGUUGCUAGUAAUCGCGAAUCAGAAUGUCGCGGUGAUGCGUUCCCGGGUCUU